CAAGUCCGCGCGCUUAACUGAUUUCCUCGGACAGCCCCUGUGCCGUAGGGGGUUGGGAACUUCAUCAGUAGCAUGUGGGGGGAAAGAUGCGCCUUGACCAUGGUGAGUGCCGUACGUCCAACUAUGACGUUGUACGCCGUCGGGCAAUCAACGAUGAGGAAUUGAUCGUAUACCGUCGUUUUCCUUGGCGCGGUGCCGAAGG
rnacentral:lncRNA from 1 species